rnacentral:rRNA from 1 species
GAUGAACGCUAGCUACAGGCUUAACACAUGCAAGUCGAGGGGAAACGACAUCGAAAGCUUGCUUUUGAUGGGCGUCGACCGGCGCACGGGUGAGUAACGCGUAUCCAACCUGCCCACCACUUGGGGAUAACCUUGCGAAAGUAAGACUAAUACCCAAUGACGUCUCUAGAAGACAUCUGAAGGAGAUUAAAGAUUUAUCGGUGAUGGAUGGGGAUGCGUCUGAUUAGCUUGUUGGCUGGGGAACGGCCCACCAAGGCGACGAUCAGUAGGGGUUCUGAGAGGAAGGUCCCCCACAUUGGAACUGAGACACGGUCCAAACCCCUACGGGAGGCAGCAGUGAGGAAUAUUGGUCAAUGGGCGAGAGCCUGAACCAGCCAAGUAGCGUGCAGGAUGACGGCCCUAUGGGUUGUAAACUGCUUUUAUAAGGGAAUAAAGUGAGUCUCGUGAGACUUUUUGCAUGUACCUUAUGAAUAAGGACCGGCUAAUUCCGUGCCAGCCGCCGCAGUAA